rnacentral:misc_RNA from 1 species
UACGUAGGGGGCGAGCGUUGUCCGGAAUUAUUGGGCGUAAAGAGCUCGUAGGUGGUUAUCCAAGUCGGCCGUGAAAACUCAGGGCUCAACCCUGAGCCUGCGGUCGAUACUGGGUGACUAGAGUCUGGUAGGGGGAUCUGGAACUCCUGGUGUAGCGGUGGAAUGCGCAGAUAUCAGGAAGAACACCGGUGGCGAAGGCGGGAUCCUGGGCCAGUACUGACACUGAGGAGCGAAAGCGUGGGGAGCAAACAGG